rnacentral:rRNA from 1 species
UCGACGCUGAAGCUUAGGUGCUUGCACUGGGUGGAUGAGUGGCGAACGGGUGAGUAAUACGUGAGUAACCUGCCCUUGACUCUGGGAUAAGCCUGGGAAACUGGGUCUAAUACUGGAUAUGACCUCCUGUCGCAUGGUGGGGGGUGGAAAGGGUUUGUACUGGUUGUGGAUGGGCUCACGGCCUAUCAGCUUGUUGGUGGGGUAAUGGCCUACCAAGGCGACGACGGGUAGCCGGCCUGAGAGGGUGACCGGCCACACUGGGACUGAGACACGGCCCAGACUCCUACGGGAGGCAGCAGUGGGGAAUAUUGCACAAUGGGCGCAAGCCUGAUGCAGCGACGCCGCGUGAGGGAUGACGGCCUUCGGGUUGUAAACCUCUUUCAGCACGGAAGAAGCGAAAGUGACGGUACGUGCAGAAGAAGCGCCGGCUAACUACGUGCCAGCAGCCGCGGUAAUACGUAGGGCGCAAGCGUUGUCCGGAAUUAUUGGGCGUAAAGAGCUCGUAGGCGGUUUGUCGCGUCUGCUGUGAAAGCCCGGGGCUUAACCCCGGGUGUGCAGUGGGUACGGGCAGACUUGAGUGCAGUAGGGGAGACUGGAACUCCUGGUGUAGCGGUGAAAUGCGCAGAUAUCAGGAAGAACACCGAUGGCGAAGGCAGGUCUCUGGGCUGUUACUGACGCUGAGGAGCGAAAGCAUGGGGAGCGAACAGGAUUAGAUACCCUGGUAGUCCAUGCCGUAAACGUUGGGCACUAGGUGU